AUAGAUUCACAGUUGGUAGAAGCAGAGAUUCGCAGAUCGAUCGAAGAUGAACACUGACAUCACUGCCUUGGAGAAGCCCCAGUACCCCGUCGUCGAUCGGAACCCUCCAUUCACGAAAGUCGUCGGAAACUUCAGCGUCCUCGAUUACCUCCGUUUCUCCACCAUCACCGGCGUGUCCGUCACUGUCGGCUACCUAUCAGGUCCACCUCUCUCUCGAAACUUUUGCAUUUCAUUGGUUUAAUCAAUCUUGUUGGAGUGGGCUCCUGAUCGGUGAUUCGGAUUCGGCGACGUGUUUAGGGAUCAAGCCAGGGAUCAAGGGACCGUCGAUGGUGACGGGAGGACUGAUCGGACUCAUGGGUGGGUUCAUGUACGCUUACCAGAACUCCGCGGGUCGGCUCAUGGGCUUUUUCCCUAACGAAGGCGAGGUCGCGGCAAGUCACCAGAAGCGUGGUGGUUCGAUCAAUUGAAUCUAGGGGUUUUCCUGGGUCUCUGUUCUGUUUGUUUUAAAAAAAAAAAACAAUCUUUUUCUUGUAAUUGGAUUUUGAUUUUCUUUCUCUGAUAUUGUUGCUGUUUUGAGGAUACGUUUGCCUCUGUUUGUCUGUUUAUGAUGACUUAUGGGUAAUAAAAAAAGACUGAGCUUUCUCGCAAAUGUGUGAACGUUUCUGUGAUUGUGAUGUUGCAUUGAGGAUUUAGACUAUCUGGUAGGAUCAUGUUUAGUGUAGUUUGUGUAAGUAUUGGUUUGCAGAGGGAGGGGGACUGAUGAACAAGGGAGCAGCUGCACUCGAGUCUCUCAGACUGAUUCUGCCUCAGUUCAUGGUAUUGGUCCUCACUAUCUAUCUAGCUUUGCCUAGGAAAGUUAGUCUUGAAAUAUUCAGUCCCUGCCUUGAUUUGAAAUCCUUUUUUUGGGGUUUGUGGGUAAAGCUAGCUUUCGGCAUCUCUGUUUGACAUUAAGGUUUGUAUUCACUUGCUGUAUUGGGGGUAGUUAGUAGUUGUUUGUGAUAAAGAUAGUUUUCCUUUAUUAGCAUUGGCAUUGUAUUUGGAGUAUAAGAAGAGUCCUUGACGCGAUUCUUCAUAUGUGGUUUGGUUUGUUUAGGUUUGGUUAGUUGUUGUGCACAUGAUGUAUUGAACGAGUGAUAUGUGUCCGAGACCUUUCUAUGGAUAAGCAGAACCUUCUUUUUCCUUCAGUUCUUCUCUCCACCUCGUAGUGUUUGGAUUCUUCUUUCAUGUCAUGACUCGUGUCUCUUUUGUUCAACUUUCUAGACUAGUUACAUCAAUUUCUCUGGAUGUUUAUGGUUUUGGGUUUCAAUGCGGGUUUUGCGGUGUGCAUAAGUGAAAUCAAAGUACAUUGCAGUCUUAGUACACGACAUUAUGCUCCAAGUUGUUAAAAUGAAAAAGGUGAUGGUCAUAAAGCCUAUGUCCAAUAUUAACUGUAUACUAAUAUGAAAUCAAUUAAUUUAAAUUAAAAUAUCUAAAAAUUCAUUAAUGAAAAUCAGUGAAAUUCAAACCCGAUUAUCAAAAUCAGAAAAGACCAAAUACUCUAUAAGGCCUGCCCUUUAUCUUAUCUUUUCAUAUUGCUCUUCGCUAGAGUUUAAUGGCCACAUCUUCACCAUCGUUUUGUACAGUUGAUUGGUUACAAUGCAGAUAAUGAAUGAGUUCGGUUGUAUACUGCAUUGUGAUUCAUUUCGUGGUCUAUUAGUCCCUAUUGACCUUAUAUUACGGAAAAGAACGCUAUCACUAUCUCCUUGGGAAUCGAAUCCCACUACCUCUCCUCUUGAAUAUGAAUGAGUUCGGUUGUAUACUGCAUUGGAUAUUUCAUUAAUGUAACUGAAAAAGAUAAACAAUAAAAUAUGAAGUUUAAAUUCAUUUAAGCAUAUUUUAUUAAUGUAACUGAAAAGACAAGUAAUAAAUUAAACAGUUUUAUUCGUUUUAGUAUAUUUCAUAAAUGCAACUGAAAAAGACAAGCAAAAAAAAAAAAUUUAAUUAAUAAAUUAAGAACAUUUUCAAAUGGGUACUUAUCUUUUAAUAAUAUAGAUAGAUAUACAUAUCCCUGGUAAUAAUGAUAUGUAUUUUUCAAAUGCGAUCACAUAUAUAGUAAUAAUCAUUUCGAAGCUAUAUUUUAUAUUACGAUGAUACUUUACGAUCUACGUACUCAUUGAGUUAUUGAUCCUUGUUCUGGGAUGGGUACCAUCAAUUGUCAAGUUAAUCUACUUAUUCGUGUCCUUGCAAAUGUUUCGUACACUUCUACUUAUAUAUACUUCCAAGUCCCGCCAAAAAAAGACAUCGUAAAGAAGCAUACAUGUACUUUAAAUUCGAUUUAUGUUGGUCUUCACUUGCACUUGUUCAAACCCUGAUUUUUUUUCUCAAGAAAAUGUGUUUAUAUAUUUAUUUCUUCAAAACUACGAAUUUCUCAUACAAGUCAUGACAAAAAAAAUUUGUCAAUCGCAAUCAAACUUAUUUGCAUGUAUUUGGGCCAGUACUCUUUUAACUCUUAUAUUUGUCAGUAAUAGAGACAGCUAGAAACUGAAGUUCACCCAUUCGGUCAUAACCAGAUUUGAAUAAAAUAUUUUCUGAAAGAAAAAUAAUAUAUUCAAACAUAAUCCAUCAUUAUUAUUUGUUGAUUAUAAACUACACAGCUAAAUUUGGUGUUAUAGGGAUCUUAUAAUACUUGAAAAUCAUGUUUCAAACAAUUUAAAGUUAGGUGUUAUCGUUGGUUCUAAGUGAGAAUAUAUGUGUAAACUGGUAUGGUUGGUCCAAUAUUAAUGAGCCAAAUGCUUAAUUGAGACUCGUCUGAUCUCUAGUUUAGGAACGGUUUAGAGCUUAACUAGUGCAUAAGAGAAUCUAAUUAGUGGUUGAGGUUUAGUAGACGUAAUUAAGAAAACGAGUUAUAACAAAGUAACUCUAGCUUCGACGUGCCAUCCUUAAAUGGGCCAGAGAUCCAAGAGCCCAACAAAGAAGUUUGUGGGUCGGAGAGAGCCUCCAAACGAAACAGAGUCUCCCCCUGCUUGUGUUGCAAUUGAAUUAACCUAAGAGAGAGGAAGAUAGAUUCACAGUUGGUAGAAGCAGAGAUUCGCAGAUCGAUCGAAGAUGAACACUGACAUCACUGCCUUGGAGAAGCCCCAGUACCCCGUCGUCGAUCGGAACCCUCCAUUCACGAAAGUCGUCGGAAACUUCAGCGUCCUCGAUUACCUCCGUUUCUCCACCAUCACCGGCGUGUCCGUCACUGUCGGCUACCUAUCAGGUCCACCUCUCUCUCGAAACUUUUGCAUUUCAUUGGUUUAAUCAAUCUUGUUGGAGUGGGCUCCUGAUCGGUGAUUCGGAUUCGGCG
rnacentral:lncRNA from 1 species